rnacentral:sRNA from 1 species
GUCAAUGCAUCAGCAAAUCGUUGGUUUGCAAUGGGGAUUCUGACUGUGAUGAAGACAGUGCUGAUGAAGACAGAUGUGAGGACUCAGAAAGGAGACCUUCCUGUGAUAUUGAUAAACCUCCUCCUAACAUAGAACUUACUGGAAAUGGAUUCAAUUCAAAACCAGCUGUUGCCAUAGAUACAAAAGAGCCAUGUGUUUCCCAAAUAUGUUCUUAGACGGAAAGAAUGUUGGAUUUUCCAAGCCAUUAGUUUUAGCGAUUAUACCAAGCAGGGGAAGCUGGAUAAUGUAUGGUGUGCAUUAGGAUGCUGUGCUCUUCAUUUGAGCUCUCUCAAAGAAAUGUUUAACUGUAAUGCAUUUUAAGAAUUUCUAGAGUUCUCUAAUAAAUUUUUUUCCCACC